rnacentral:rRNA from 1 species
GUACACUCCUGCGGGAGGCAGCAGUGGGGAAUAUUGGACAAUGGGCGCAAGCCUGAUCCAGCCAUGCCGCGUGAGUGAUGAAGGCCCUAGGGUUGUAAAGCUCUUUCACCGGAGAAGAUAAUGACGGUAUCCGGAGAAGAAGCCCCGGCUAACUUCGUGCCAGCAGCCGCGGUAAUACGAAGGGGGCUAGCGUUGUUCGGAAUUACUGGGCGUAAAGCGCACGUAGGCGGAUCGAUCAGUCAGGGGUGAAAUCCCAGGGCUCAACCCUGGAACUGCCUUUGAUACUGUCGAUCUGGAGUAUGGAAGAGGUGAGUGGAAUUCCGAGUGUAGAGGUGAAAUUCGUAGAUAUUCGGAGGAACACCAGUGGCGAAGGCGGCUCACUGGUCCAUUACUGACGCUGAGGUGCGAAAGCGUGGGGAGCAAACAGGAUUAGAUACCCCUGUAGUCCCA